AGUGAUUAAACUCUUAUGAAGAAUGGUUGUGCAAUCACAACUUAUGACUUUAACCUAUAAAGUGGAUAUGGACUAUCAAUUAUAACAUGGGGCACACACCAUGUUCUCGAUCCAAUCCACGCACACGAGUUGCCUGAGUAGCGACAGGUAUACCGAUGUGCAAUACGUAUCCGGCCAUAGGCACGGAACGAACAGGAACUGUGGUGCAGACAUACAAGGGCCAUGGGGCGGUACGCAAAGGAUACGGAUGAGCGAGUAUGCAGGCCCAAUACUCAAUAGCUCGAUCCGAUCCAAGCACAUGAGUUGACUGCGGCGUCAGGUUAACCAAUGUGCUAGAUUCUAUUUGGCCAGUAGAAUCUUGUGUCUUACGCGAUUUGAUACCAAGACACCAGAACGAAAGUUAGUUGAAGAGUGAUUAAACUCUUAUGAAGAAUGGUUGUGCAAUCACAACUUAUGACUUUAACCUAUAAAGUGGAUAUGGACUAUCAAUUAUAACAUGGGGCACACACCAUGUUCUCGAUCCAAUCCACGCACACGAGUUGCCUGAGUAGCGACAGGUAUACCGAUGUGCAAUACGUAUCCGGCCACGGCACGGAACGAACGGGAACUGUGGUGCAGACAUACAAAGAGUUAAGCCUACUAGUCAUUAACUCUAAG